rnacentral:rRNA from 1 species
UACGUAGGGGGCAAGCGUUGUUCGGAAUUACUGGGCGUAAAGGGCGCGUAGGCGGCUUGUCACGUCGGGUGUGAAAGCCCGGGGCUUAACCCCCGGGUCUGCAUUCGAUACGGGCUAGCUAGAGUGUGGUAGGGGAGAUCGGAAUUCCUGGUGUAGCGGUGAAAUGCGCAGAUAUCAGGAGGAACACCGGUGGCGAAGGCGGAUCUCUGGGCCAUUACUGACGCUGAGGAGCGAAAGCGUGGGGAGCGAACAGG